UUUCAGUUUCAUUUUGAACGCCGUGCGCUGAGAACGUGGACGUACUGCCGGUCUCGCUCUGUGUCUCUCGGUCUCUUGCCCCUCGGCUCGCCUCGAGUCGUAGCGUAGAACGCGUGUGAACCAAAAGAAAUAAUAAUACUUUUUUUUUUGUUGAAUGGUGGCAUUAAACGGAACCCAACCAAAGAGCAACGUGAAAACCCAAGUGCUAAAUGUUCAAUGAUUGAAAUACGACACCUACAAAAUAAUAAAUCAGAAGGAAAAAAAAAGAUAGAAUACAAGUGAAAAAUCAAUGUGAAACAAAGGAAAUGAUAUUGUAAAGGCAAACGCAGAGAGAAAUCAACUAAAUGCCAAAGCGAGGCGAGGCAGCGGCUGAAAAUUGAAAUACAAAACUGACAUCGAAACAAAACAAAAACAAAGCAAAAACCAAAAAAAAAAAAAAAACCAGAAAUCGUGAAACGAAAGAAGCGACUCGACCGACACCCACACCACACCACACCACUCCCCACCCACCCACCACCGGCACCACCACCACCACCACCAUCCAAACAAAUAUUGAAUGCGCGUGAGUGAGGACAAAUCCGAAAGCAGGUGUUUAAUACUCUCGGCUAACAACACAACACAACACUGGCGGCACUGUCUGUAACACUGGAAACAUGUUGCUGAGACGCUCGCCACACAGCGGCAUCCCCAAGAAGUCGCCGGGGCGUCGGACGCCAUCGCCAUCGUCAUCGUCAUCGCCAUCGCCAUCGCCCUCGCGGCCAUCUUCACACCCAACGAUGCCACUGCAACUGCAACUGCUGCUGCUACUAUGCCUGGCAUUUGUGGGCCAUGUCAGUGCACAAUUUGAUCGGACUAUCAGUGAACAGGAGAGCAAGUCUGUGGUCCUUCCCUGUCCCGUGAAUGAGGAAAAGUGCGGCAAGCUGCAUUCAUUGAAUUGGUUCAAAGGCGACGAUCGCAUUGCUGCCAUGCUGCUCGGCGAUAGCAAUGUGACGAGUGUGAAUAAAGAAUUUGAGGACAGAGUAACUGUUGAACAAAAUCCAUACAGACUAGUUAUUAAGGACCUGAAAAUAGGUGAUGAGGAUAUUUAUCUAUGUGAUACAACAUUUUUUAUACCAGAAGAAACGUGUGAUAACUUCAACGGAUAUCGAGUGGAAUUGAGAGUCUUAGUGCCACCCACUGAGGUUGUGAUUUUGGAUGCAAAGGGCGAUCGCAUCGAGAACGGCAGCGUGGUGGGUCCCAUGCAGGAGCGGCAGGCCCUGAAGGCCACUUGCACCGUGAAGAACACCCGGCCCCAGCCAGAUGUCGGCUGGUUCCGUGGCACCAAGCGCCUGGCAACAUACUCUCCCACUCAUGAUUUGAACGAUGGCCUCUACACUUCGACCCUGGAGUUGGAUUGGCAAUUAUCCCGCGAGGAUCUGGCUCAGGACAUAGAAUGUCGCGUGGAAUCCGCGGCCAUAAAGUCCACGAUUGUUACCAAAUUUAGCGUGGACUUGCAAGUGCGGCCGACGAGCAUACUCAUCAAGGGAGUGGAACAUCAUACAGUGCAGGGCAGCAAAGUAGUGCUGCAAUGUGACAUUCACGGUGCUCGCCCGGCUGUUAACCUCACGUGGUACAACACAACCUCGACCAUCAGCGCCGAGGAGAAUGAUUUAACUGAGAUUCGGACCAAGGCGUUCGAGAAGGAGGAUGGCACCUAUCACACACAAUCAGAGCUCGUGUUCAAUGCCUCCCGCUUCGAGAACGAUCGUGUCUUCAAAUGCGAGGCCGAAAACAUUGUCCUGCAGAUCAACAGAGAGAAGCCAAUCGCGUCAUCUCUAACACUGGAAGUGUUGUAUCCUCCCGUCGUCAAGGUCAGUCCGCCUGAAAUGGUCACCAAUACCAGUGAAAUAGUCCUCCUGAACUGUGAAUAUUUCGCCAAUCCUGCAUCUUUAACCCAAGUUGUAUGGUACCGCAACGGCGACAUCGUCAAUGUGAACGAUACGGAUCACUACCAAGGCGGCAAUUCGGAAAAUGUGGCUCUGGUAAUCAAGUCCACCGAUAAGGAGGACGUUGGCAACUAUUCGUGUCAGCUAUCGAACUCGAUUGGCAAGGGCAUAUCGGAGCAGCAGAUAGAUCUUGAUGUCCAGUAUGUUCCCGUUGUGGAGGUUCUAAUGAUACCCGAGGGACCUGUGAAGGAAAGCGACGAGUCGAAUGUCACCCUCUUUUGCAAUAUUUUAGAGGCAAAUCCUUCAGUUCUCACGAAAGUGCGAUGGUACGCCAAUGCCACGCUGCUCAAGGAGCUGCCCGACUGCGAGGAAACUAGAGAGGAUCUGUGCCAUAUCGAUCCCAGUAAACUGUUGUUGGAAAGCAUCGGACGGGGAUUUUUCUACAAUUACUCCUGCGAGGGCUUCAAUGCUGCUGGCUGGGGUCCGCGCAGCGAAGAGAAAGAGCUGAUGGUACACUACGAGCCGGGACCUGCUACCCUGACGCACUUUCCACCCAUUGCUGUGAAAAAGAAGAGCGUCAUCUUCUCGUGCUCUGUGGACGAUCCGGGAUACCCGGAAUCGAAUAGGUUUGUAGCACCACAAACACAACCACAACCACAACCAAAAUCACAACAACAAGCCAACAAGAAUCACAACAAAAUCACGACACAUAAUCCAACACCACUAAUCGCCUACCACACCGUCCAAGCACUGCAGCCGCACGAGGCUGACAUGGCCUUCGAGGCGCUGCUGCUGCAAAGGCAGCAAGAGCAGCAGCAAGAGCAGCAGUUGCAGUUGCAGCUGCAUCCACCAUCAUCAUCAAGAACAUUAACAAGCAGCCUCGCAUCGGCAUCCGCAUCCGCAUCCCGACCCGCAGUCCAUGAAAUUAAAGAAACUCACGCUCUAAUUGAUUUACAUCUGAAUCAUUCCCUUUGUACACUACUCACGCUCACCACCUACACGCCACAAUCGCAAAUCUUGACCCUAUACACGGGUGAACAACAUCCGACAUACUCGUCCUCGUCCUCGUACGCCUCAUCAUCCUCGACCUCGUCCUAUGCACUCUACCGCAAAAUGGGCAAAUUUACGUUUGUCGCUCAAAUGGUUCUGCAACCCAACAGAUAUCGUUGGCUGCGCGGCGGUCGCGGUCCGCUGCAGGACAUUGUCACCAAGGACUGGACGGUGGAACCUGUUGGCCUCGACAGUCGGACCAACUAUUCCUGCUAUGCGUACAACGAGGGCGGCAAGGGCGUAAUGGCCACAGUCAAUUUGGAGGUACACGCACCGCCAUUUUUCAUCAAGAACCUGCCACAGUAUACGGGCGUGCUGCACUCCACCCGCAACGCCAAUCUAACCUGUCGCAUCGAGUGCGUUCCGCGCUGCGAGAUAUCCUGGCAGAAGGACGGCACCCCCAUCGAGAAGAACGAUACCCGCUACUUUGUCAAGGAGAAGUACAUGGACGCCUCGCCGGCAACCGGCGACUUUGAGAGCAUGCUUUCGGUUCUGCACUUUAACAUGUCAAAUUGGGCAAAUUCGAAAUUCGAUAUCUUGGCGGAUAGUGCCAACUACACGUGCGUCUCGACGGCCAAUUCUGUGGGAGCUGGCAUCAGGAGUGGCACCUAUUUGGGCAUUGAAUAUGCACCCAUCAACACAACCGUCGCGAAUGCCACCGUCUAUGUGCAGGAAGACACCAUCCCGGGACGCGUCAUCUGCAAAUCAUUUGGUAAUCCAGAACCUUCCUAUGAGUGGCGGUUCAAGGACAAGACGAUAACGAGGGGCAGUGCUCUGAUCAUCAAUACUCCCAUGCAACGCAACGACAACGGCACCUACACCUGCGUGGCCUUCAACAAACACGGCAAGAGCACGGCUGAAACCGUCAUCGAAGUGCAGUUUAAGCCGCGCUGCGAAAUCGAGAGACGGGAGAUCGACGAUCAGGACACUCUGAUUUGCACAGCAUUCGGUAACCCCGUGGAGGCUGAUUUUUCAUGGUCAAUUAAGGCGGAGAACGAAACUGUUGAAUAUUUGGGCAGCGGCGACGAGAAGGCGUUUGCGGACAAGAGCUUCUAUGUCCUGCAGGAGGACUAUGCCAUUGCCAGGACCUACAGAUGCGUGGCCAAUAACACGGUUGGAUCGGGUGCAUUCUGUGAAAUCGAAGUUGCUGCUGGUUCAGCGCUUUUUAUUUGGUGGCAAGAACAAUUGGCCUGGUGGCAGCGCUGGGAGAAGACGACGCUCAUCAUACUGGUUGCAGCCAUUCUGGGACUGCUGCUGGCCGUCAUUAUCAUUUGCUGUAUAAUCAUAUGCGUCUGCCGUCGUCGCCGGCGCCAGGAUAAAUUACACGACAAGUCGUCUUCACUGGGGGAACCAUUGACGGAACCUGGCGAGUAUGAGAAUCUACCGUUUCAUGGUCUGCAAACGGCACCUAACAAGCAUGUGUCUGACUUUGAGGAUCCUUACAAAAGCAGCAAUACCUAUAUAUACUAAAUUAUUAUUUGUUUAAAUUUCAAAUCAAAAAAAAAAUCCAAAAACUAUAAAAAAAAACUGAGCUAAAUGUUAUAUGUCACAAUAGAAAAAGCCACUGAACGCCGCCAGGUUCGAUGAUGAAUUCAUCUAUGCUGAUCUCGAGAGUCAACACUAUGGGCCCAUCAACUACAAGGCGG
rnacentral:misc_RNA from 1 species